rnacentral:rRNA from 1 species
UUAAAACUUAAAUUACAUGGCGGUAGCUAGAAAUUUCAGGGGAACUUGCCAAGUAAAUGAUAACCCUCAAGGAACGCUACUCCUGCUUAUAGUUUGAAUAUCGCCGUCUUCAGUAUUCAUUUAAAGAUGAACCCAAAAUGUAACCUCACAAAAAGACAGGUUAUGAUGCAGCUAAUGCAGGAGCUUCAGGUGAGUUACAAUAGAAAUAUUUCUUGAAUUCUCUCUUAACGAAAGGGAUGAAACUGGACUUGAAAGUAAAAGAUUAAAAAGAACAUUAAUUGAAUUUCUCCACUAUCUG